GACAGAGGGUGCAAACGUUGUUCGGAAUUACUGGGCGUAAAGCGUGUGUAGGCGGCUAUGUAAGUCGGAUGUGAAAGCCCCGGGCUCAACUCGGGAAGUGCACUCGAUACUGCGUAGCUAGAGUACCGGAGAGGUUGGUGGAAUUCUCGGUGUAGAGGUGAAAUUCGUAGAUAUCGAGAGGAACACCGGUGGCGAAGGCGGCCAACUGGACGAGUACUGACGCUGAGACACGAAAGCGUGGGGAGCAAACAGG
rnacentral:rRNA from 1 species